rnacentral:rRNA from 1 species
AUUGAACGCUGGCGGCAGGCCUAACACAUGCAAGUCGAGCGAGCGGCGGACGGGUGAGUCCUGUCUGGGAAACUGCCUGAUGGGGGGGGAUAACUGCUGGAAACGGUAGCUAAUCACGCAUACCAUCAGAUGUGCCCAGAUGGGAUUAGCUGGUAGGUGGGGUAACGGCUCACCUAGGCGACGAUCCCUAGCUGGUCUGAGAGGAUGACCAGCCAAACUGGAACGGAGACACGGGCCAGACUCCUACGGGAGGCAGCAGUGGGGAAUAUUGGACAAUGGGCGCAAGCCUGAUGCAGCCAUGCCGCGUGUGUGAAGAAGGCCUUCGGGUUGUAAAGCACUUUAAGCUGGGAGGCGUUACCCGCAGAAGAAGCACCGGCUAACUCCGUGCCAGCAGCCGCGGUAAUUC